rnacentral:lncRNA from 1 species
GCCCUACUUCUUGAUUGCAACAUGAUAUCCUACUUCUACAACAUGAAAAAAAUCGUUUAGGUGGGAUCAACCAUUCAUAGCGUUAAAAUAUUUACCCAUAUAACCGAAUCUCCAACCAUAAAUCACAAAGCCAACACACUAAAAAAUAUACACAAAACGACAUUUCACAUCAAGCACCGAUCCAAGAGGAAAAGGGCCGACAGCAUCAAAGAAGGAUGCAGGCAGGGACAUACAGUAGCAAAUAACUCAACGCAGCUCACGGCAGCCUUAAUCUUACAGGUUAAACCAGAGAACAACGAGCUUGUAAAGGGCUUCGGGAGAUCAAAUAAAGAAUGACUUCUUCAAGUAUGACAUUCUACUUGUUGGGAAUCUACUUAACAUGCGUAGCGGAAAAUUAAAACAAAUUUCAAUUCUCACCAGGAAUAUCUUUGUGUUUAGAUAGAAAUUGUGAAUAGAUUGUACAUUUUCCAAAUCUGCAAACUUCUUUACUAUUCUUUUCGUUCCAGCAAUCUUGAUUCUCUAUCCACAACUGUCCAAUUGUCCAGCCUCCAAUGGUGAUCCACACAGAGAAUAGAUUACAG